rnacentral:rRNA from 1 species
UACAGAGGGGGCAAGCGUUAUUCGGAAUUAUUGGGCGUAAAGGGCGCGUAGGCGGCCUGGCAAGUGGAAGGUGAAAUCCCUCGGCUUAACCGAGGAACUGCCCUCCAAACUGCUUGGCUUGAGUCCGGGAGAGGUGAGUGGAAUUCCCAGUGUAGCGGUGAAAUGCGUAGAUAUUGGGAGGAACACCAGUGGCGAAGGCGGCUCUCUGGGACGGUACUGACGCUGAGACGCGAAAGCGUGGGGAGCGAACAGG